rnacentral:lncRNA from 1 species
AGGGGCGGUCCUGUACUAACUGGGGCCACAAGCAAAAAAAAUAUGGGGGCCCAUACAGAAACAUAAAAACUUUGAAAAUGAGAAGAAAUUCAGUCAAAACUAUUUUUUUUUCCUAUUAGAUCCCAUUGAAAUGAUGAUAUUUUUGUUAGGACACAUUUCUAACUUUAUUGGCAAUAUUCUUUUGUACCAUAAAACUUAAAAACAUAUAUAAGAAAAUUUUUUUUUUAAAUGGGGGCCCAGAAAAUUUGGGGGCCCAAGGCCGGUGCUUCAUCUCGCUGUGCCGAGGGACGCCCCUGC